rnacentral:lncRNA from 13 species
AGCUAAAUUGCACUAUGGUAGCCUAUAAAAUGAUGAUAAUAUAGUUUCCUAAGUGACUUCCUCAUAUAUGACUUUACUCUCCCUCUGGUGAUAAGAACUGGGCAAUUGAUUGUACCUUUUUUUCUUCUUCUUUAUUUCUCAGGAAAUGAAGUGAAGACAAUGGGCUUCAUGGUAAGAAACCUUGUUAUUACGGUCACAACAUAUCACCAGGCAGUAUUCAAGUGAAGAAGGCUUUAACAUUUGUGACAGUUCAGUGGCUCUAUUUCUGAUGAAUGAACAACAGCUCUACAUAUGCCUUUGGAAGAGAAACGUCCAGAAGAAUCCAGAGAAAUACUACAACAUACUAUUUGGCACACCUUUGAAAGUUAAUGAAAACUUGCUGAGUGAAUCAAUGAAGAAGUCAACAAAUCACUCAGUUGUCCAGGAACCAGGAUGAAAACUACUGAGUAAGCAGAGGGCAUCUCUUCAGCUCACUCUUCUAGAGCAGAGAAAACCAAAUCAGGAAAAAAGAAAGUAACAAAAACUCCCCAAAGAGCAGGAGCUAUCAUUUCCAGAGCAGCAACUGCUAAACACAUGAAGUUAACAAAGUGAGUUUCAGACUUAUAGAAGCUUUUUCAAAUGUGCUCGUCACCUUCGAAGCAAAUUUCCUAUAUACCCUCACUGCUUUCUGGCAGUUCCAUAUAUUCACUCACUGCUGUCUUGCUGAGAUUCUUUUACCCAACAUCAUUCCCUUAAUAGUUUGUUUGGAUGCCAAUGAAGGUGCCCUCCAGCCUUCUCAUUUAAUUUUACUUAUAAUUUUAAAUGUCUCAGCUAUUAACCCUCACUCUUCUCAUUAUGUCCAGGAAAUGUUCAGGAUCAUAACUAGCAGAGAUGAAAUUUCUUCUUAAGCAUAGGGUGCAAAAGGGAUGGAGAAUGUAAGUCCUCUUCUCCGUAGAUGGUGGAUACAACAUGUCAAAGAACAGAUAUUUCUUGCAGGCCAUCAUCAUCUCCGCGAUGCAGCUCACGCCAAGUUGACAAUGCCAGAUAUUUAUAACCAAUAUGAAUUUCAUAGAAAAUGGAAAGUGCUCUUCUAUUUUAGUGGAGAAUGAAGGCUCAUCAAUACAACUGUCCCUAGAGCAAACAGGAACAGACAACAUGUUAUGUGUGGGCAGCAUAAAAUUUCCUUGUGUGGUCUUUUUUUUUCCAAAGUAUUGUUACAUCUGAUUAUUGUCUAUUUAUAUUGGGAGCCAGAGGUAGUUUGCGCUUCUAUAUGGAAUUAAAAGGAAUAGAAAA